GGCCUACCGCCUGGGUUAGGAGUGCUGUACACGAGGUAGGCCUACCGCCGGGGUUAGGAGUGCUGUACACGAGGUAGGCCUACCGCCGGGGUUAGGACUGCUGUACACAAGGUAGGCCUACCGCCUGGGUUAGGACUGUUGUACACGAGGUAGGCCUACCGCCUGGGUUAGGACUGUUGUACACGAGGUAGGCCUACCGCCUGGGUUAGGACUGCUGUACACGAGGUAGGCCUACCGCCUGGGUUAGGACUGUUGUACACGAGGUAGGCCUACCGCCGGGGUUAGGACUGCUGUACACGAGGUAGGCCUAC